UACGGAGGGUGCGAGCGUUGUCCGGAAUCAUUGGGCGUAAAGGGCGCGUAGGUGGCGGCUUAAGCGUGCGGUGAAAGCUCGGGGCUCAACCCCGAGUCGGCCGUGCGAACUGAGUCGCUUGAGCACUGUAGAGGCAGGCGGAAUUCCGGGUGUAGCGGUGGAAUGCGUAGAGAUCCGGAAGAACACCGGUGGCGAAGGCGGGCCUGCUGGGCCGAUACUGACGCUGAGGAGCGAAAGCGUGGGGAGCGA
rnacentral:rRNA from 1 species